rnacentral:rRNA from 1 species
CCCUUAGAUGCUCUGGGCUGCACGCGUGCUACAAUGGCGCUUGCAACAAGUCUUGCCAACCCGAUAGGGUGAGCGGAUCUUUGAAGAGGCGUCGUGAUCGGGACAGUUGAUUGCAAUUAUUCGACUCGAACGAGGAAUUCCUUGUAAUCGCGAUUCAUCAUAUCGCGCUGAAUACGUCCCUGCCCUUUGUACACACCGCCCGUCGCUCCUACCGAUUGAGCGAUCCGGUGAAUGUUUUGGACUGGCGUCAGAAGCGGUUCGCUCCUGACACUACGAAAUUUUGUAAACCUUAUCGCUUAGAGGAAGGAAAAGUCGUAACA